rnacentral:rRNA from 1 species
GGAACGGAAAGCCGCGUGCAAGCGAAGGAGGAGUCACAUAGGAAAAACCGUGUGGCAAUCCAAAGGCGUGAUGCGGACCGAAUUAAAGUAGGGAAGUGUGUGAGCCAUGAAUCAAGAAAAGCCGCUAUUGUUUUUAAGAUACCCGUACCGUAAACCGUCACAGGUGGAUGAGGAGAGAAUCCUAAGGCCGGCGGAAGAAGCAUUGUUAAGGAACUCGGCAAAAUGACCCCGUAACUUCGGGAGAAGGGGUGCCAACGAGAGUUGGCCGCAGAGAAUAGGCUCAAGCAACUGUUUAGCAAAAACACAGGUCUAUGCAAAACCGUAAGGUGAGGUAUAUGGGCUGACGCCUGCCCGGUGCUGGAAGGUUAAGAGGAGAGGUUAGCGCAAGCGAAGCUUUGAAUUUAAGCCCCAGUAAACGGCGGCCGUAACUAUAACGGUCCUAAGGUAGCGAAAUUCCUUGUCGGGUAAGUUCCGACCCGCACGAAAGGCGUAAUGAUUUGAGCGCUGUCUCGACAAUGCAUCCGGUGAAAUUGAAGUACCAGUGAAGAUGCUGGUUACCCGCGCCAGGACGGAAAGACCCCAUGGAGCUUUACUCCAGUUUGGUACUGGGGUCCGGCAGUGCAUGUACAGGAUAGGUGGGAGGCUGUGAACCUGGAACGCCAGUUUCAGGGGAGCCAUUGUUGGGAUACCACCCUUGUGCUGCUGGGCUUCUAACCAGCGGCCUUUAUCAGGCCGGGGGACAAUGCCAGACGGGGAGUUUGACUGGGGCGGUCGCCUCCGAAAGGGUAUCGGAGGCGCUCAAAGGUUCCCUCAGAAUGGUCGGAAACCAUUCGAAGAGUGCAAAGGCAGAAGGGAGCUUGACUGCGACACCGACGGGUGGAGCAGGUACGAAAGUAGGACUUAGUGAUCCGGUGGUAUUAAGUGGGAAUGCCAUCGCUCAACGGAUAAAAGCUACCCUGGGAUAACAGGCUUAUCACUCCCAAGAGUUCACAUCGACGGAGUGGUUUGGCACCUCGAUGUCGGCUCAUCGCAUCCUGGGGCUGUAGUAGGUCCCAAGGGUUGGGCUGUUCGCCCAUUAAAGCGGUACGCGAGCUGGGUUCAGAACGUCGUGAGACAGUUCGGUCCCUAUCCGGCGUGGGCGUAGGAUAUUUGAGAGGAGCUGUCCUUAGUACGAGAGGACCGGGAUGGACUGACCUCUGGUGUACCGGUUGAACCGCCAGGUUCACGGCCGGGUAGCCAAGUCGGGAAGGGAUAAACGCUGAAGGCAUCUAAGCGUGAAGCCCCCCUCAAGAUGAGAUAUCCCAUUCGAAAGAAGUAAGACCCCUUGAAGACGACGAGGUAGAUAGGGCAGAGGUGGAAGUGCCGUAAGGCAUGGAGCUGACUGUUACUAAUCGGUCGAGGGCUUGAC